UACGAAGGGGGGCUAGCGUUGCUCGGAAUCACUGGGCGUAAAGGGUGCGUAGGCGGAUAUUUAAGUCGGGGGUGAGAGCCCAGGGCUCAACCCCUGGAAUUGCCUUCGAUACUGGAUAUCUUGAGUUCGGGAGAGGUGAGUGGAAUGCCGAGUGUAGAGGUGAAAUUCGUAGAUAUUCGGCGGAACACCAGUGGCGAAGGCGACUCAC
rnacentral:rRNA from 1 species